rnacentral:rRNA from 1 species
CCUGAUGGUGCGACGCCGCGUGGGGGAUGAAGGUCUUCGGAUUGUAAACCCCUGUCAUUUGUGAACAAACCUUUUGGUUUAAUAGAUCAAAAGCUGAUAGUAGCAAAAGAGGAAGGGACGGCUAACUCCGUGCCAGCAGCCGCGGUAAUACGGAGGUCCCAAGCGUUGUUCGGAUUUACUGGGCGUAAAGGGUGCGUAGGUGGCCAGGAAAGUUUGAUGUGAAAGCUCCGAGCUCAACUCGGAAAAUGCAUUGAAUACUACUUGGCUUGAGGAUCGGAGGGGAGACUGGAAUUCUCGGUGUAGCAGUGAAAUGCGUAGAUAUCGAGAGGAACACCAGUGGCGAAGGCGAGUCUCUGGACGAUUCCUGACACUGAGGCACGAAAGCUAGGGGAGCAAACAGGAUUAGAUACCCUGGUAGUCCUAGCCGUAAACGGUGCACACUUGCUGUAGGAGGAUUCGACCCCUUCUGUGGCGGAGCAAACGCGUUAAGUGUGCCGCCUGGGGAGUACGGUCGCAAGAUUAAAACUCAAAGAAAUUGACGGGGGCCUGCACAAGCGGUGGAGUAUGUGGCUUAAUUCGAUGCAACGCGAAGAACCUUACCUGGCCUUGACAUGCAUCUCUAAGCGUGUGAAAGCACGUGACCCUUCGGGGAAUUUGCACAGGUGCUGCAUGGCUGUCGUCAGCUCGUGUCGUGAGAUGUUGGGUUAAGUCCCGCAACGAGCGCAACCCUUGUGUCCUGUUGCCACUUCCGCUAGCGCGGAAAGCACUCUGGACAGACUGCCUCGUCUCACCAAGGAGGAAGGUGGGGAUGACGUCAAGUCAGUAUGGCCCUUACGGCCAGGGCUGCACACGUACUA